UGGGGAAUAUUGGACAAUGGGCGAAAGCCUGAUCCAGCCAUGCCGCGUGUGUGAAGAAGGUCUUCGGAUUGUAAAGCACUUUUGUCCGGAAAGAAAAGCUCUCGGUUAAUAGUCGAGGGUCCUGACGGUACCGGAAGAAUAAGCACCGGCUAACUUCGUGCCAGCAGCCGCGGUAAUACGGAGGGUGCAAGCGUUAUCCGGAUUCACUGGGUUUAAAGGGUGCGUAGGUGGGUUAGUAAGUCAGUGGUGAAAUCUUCGAGCUUAACUCGGAAACUGCCAUUGAUAUUGCUAGACUUGAAUUAUUAUGAAGUAACUAGAAUAUGUAGUGUAGCGGUGAAAUGCUUAGAUAUUACAUGGAAUACCAAUUGCGAAGGCAGGUUACUACUAAUGGAUUGACGCUGAUGGACGAAAGCGUGGGGAGCGAACA
rnacentral:rRNA from 1 species